GACGAACGCUGGCGGCGUGCCUAAUACAUGCAAGUAGAACGCAGUUGCGAACGGGUGAGUAACGCGUAGGUAACUGCCUCAUAGCGGGGGACAAAUAUUGGAAACGAUAGCUAAUACCGCAUACUGCGAGAUGGACCUGUGUUGUAUUAGGUAGUUGGUGAGGUAAAGGCUCACCAAGGCGACGAUACAUAGCCGACCUGAGAGGGUGGUCGGCCCCACUGGUACUGGGACCCGGCCCAGACUCCUACGGGAGGCAGCAGUAGGGAAUCUUCGGCAAUGGACGUAAGUCUGACCGAGCAAUGCCGCGGGAGUGAAGAAGGUUUUCGGGUCGUAAAUCUCUGUUGUUAGAGAAGCGGUAUCUAACCAGAAAGGGACGGCUAACUACGUGCCAGCAGCCGCGGUAAUAC
rnacentral:rRNA from 1 species